AACCCGUGUGACAUCGAAAGUCUGAUAACUAGAAUUUUAGUUAACAUCAACAAAACCAUAAAUGUUAGGGAACAAAGCCAACCCAUAAAUGAGAAACACAAAGAUAGCUUCAAAAGUAUCCACACUACUGGCUUGGGUAAAGACAGUAGAUUCCUUGAUGAGGAAUUCAGAAGUCAACCCAAACAUUCCUCCUUUCUUCACCCAAUGAG
rnacentral:lncRNA from 1 species